rnacentral:rRNA from 1 species
GACGAACGCUGGCGGCGUGCUUAACACAUGCAAGUCGAACGGAAAGGCCCUGCUUUUGUGGGGUGCUCGAGUGGCGAACGGGUGAGUAACACGUGAGUAACCUGCCCUUGACUUUGGGAUAACUUCAGGAAACUGGGGCUAAUACCGGAUAGGAGCUCCUGCUGCAUGGUGGGGGUUGGAAAGUUUCGGCGGUUGGGGAUGGACUCGCGGCUUAUCAGCUGGUUGGUGGGGUAGUGGCUUACCAAGGCUUUGACGGGUAGCCGGCCUGAGAGGGUGACCGGCCACAUUGGGACUGAGAUACGGCCCAGAAUGCUACGGGAGGCAGCAGUGGGGAAUAUUGCACAAUGGGCGGAAGCCUGAUGCAGCAACGCCGCGUGCGGGAUGACGGCUUUCGGGUGGUAAACCGCUUUCGCCUGUGACGAAGCGUGAGUGACGGUAAUGGGUAAAGAAGCACCGGCUAACUACGUG